UACGUAGGGUGCGAGCGUUAAUCGGAAUUACUGGGCGUAAAGCGUGCGUAGGCGGUUCGCUAAGUCUGAUGUGAAAGCCCCGGGCUCAACCUGGGAACUGCAUUGGAAACUGACGAGCUUGAGUGUGGCAGAGGGGGGUGGAAUUCCACGUGUAGCAGUGAAAUGCGUAGAUAUCUGGAGGAACACCGGUGGCGAAGGCGGCAUCCUGGACCGACAUUGACACUAAAGCGCGAAAGCCAGGGGAGCAAACGGG
rnacentral:rRNA from 1 species